GGCAGGCUUAACACAUGCAAGUCGAGCGGUAGCACAGGGGAGCUUGCUCCCUGGGUGACGAGCGGCGGACGGGUGAGUAAUGUCUGGGAAACUGCCUGAUGGAGGGGGAUAACUACUGGAAACGGUAGCUAAUACCGCAUAACGUCGCAAGACCAAAGAGGGGGACCUUCGGGCCUCUUGCCAUCAGAUGUGCCCAGAUGGGAUUAGCUAGUAGGUGGGGUAAUGGCUCACCUAGGCGACGAUCCCUAGCUGGUCUGAGAGGAUGACCAGCCACACUGGAACUGAGACACGGUCCAGACUCCUACGGGAGGCAGCAGUGGGGAAUAUUGCACAAUGGGCGCAAGCCUGAUGCAGCCAUGCCGCGUGUGUGAAGAAGGCCUUCGGGUUGUAAAGCACUUUCAGCGAGGAGGAAGGUGGUGAGCUUAAUACGCUCAUCAAUUGACGUUACUCGCAGAAGAAGCACCGGCUAACUCCGUGCCAGCAGCCGCGGUAAUACGGAGGGUGCAAGCGUUAAUCGGAAUUACUGGGCGUAAAGCGCACGCAGGCGGUUUGUUAAGUCAGAUGUGAAAUCCCCGGGCUCAACCUGGGAACUGCAUUUGAGACUGGCAAGCUAGAGUCUCGUAGAGGGGGGUAGAAUUCCAGGUGUAGCGGUGAAAUGCGUAGAGAUCUGGAGGAAUACCGGUGGCGAAGGCGGCCCCCUGGACGAAGACUGACGCUCAGGUGCGAAAGCGUGGGGAGCAAACAGGAUUAGAUACCCUGGUAGUCCACGCUGUAAACGAUGUCGAUUUGGAGGUUGUGCCCUUGAGGCGUGGCUUCCGGAGCUAACGCGUUAAAUCGACCGCCUGGGGAGUACGGCCGCAAGGUUAAAACUCAAAUGAAUUGACGGGGGCCCGCACAAGCGGUGGAGCAUGUGGUUUAAUUCGAUGCAACGCGAAGAACCUUACCUACUCUUGACAUCCAGAGAACUUAGCAGAGAUGCUUUGGUGCCUUCGGGAACUCUGAGACAGGUGCUGCAUGGCUGUCGUCAGCUCGUGUUGUGAAAUGUUGGGUUAAGUCCCGCAACGAGCGCAACCCUUAUCCUUUGUUGCCAGCGGUUCGGCCGGGAACUCAAAGGAGACUGCCAGUGAUAAACUGGAGGAAGGUGGGGAUGGCGUCAAGUCAUCAUGGCCCUUACGAGUAGGGCUACACACGUGCUACAAUGGCGUAUACAAAGAGAAGCGACCUCGCGAGAGCAAGCGGACCUCAUAAAGUACGUCGUAGUCCGGAUUGGAGUCUGCAACUCGACUCCAUGAAGUCGGAAUCGCUAGUAAUCGUAGAUCAGAAUGCUACGGUGAAUACGUUCCCGGGCCUUGUACACACCGCCCGUCACACCAUGGGAGUGGGUUGCAAAAGAAGUAGGUAGCUUAACCUUCGGGAGGGCGCUUACCACUUUGUGAUU
rnacentral:rRNA from 1 species